CUAUCCUCCAAUGGCAUCCUCCAGAAUUUCUCACCGCUGGUUUCUGAAGCAGCCAAUACCUCUUUUGCCAGGUCAUCACUGGGUGUAAAGACACCUGCAAUUGAAGGUCCGAGAGCAACGAUACAAGCACCGGUUAAAGUAGCCAAGUCAAUUACCUUGUCAACACCCUGUUUACAAGUAUAUACCAAAGCAUCAGCAAGAGUAAGUCUGCCUUCAGCAUCGGUGUUAUUAACCUCAAUUGUCUUUCCAUUUGAAGCAGUGAUAAUAUCCCCAGGUCUCAUGCCGGUUCCACUUAUCAUGUUCUCACAGG
rnacentral:misc_RNA from 1 species